rnacentral:rRNA from 1 species
GACAGAGGAUGCAAGCGUUAUCCGGAAUGAUUGGGCGUAAAGCGCGUGUAGGCGGUCCGGUAAGUCGGUUGUGAAAGUCCAGGGCUCAACCCUGGGAUGCCGACCGAUACUGUCGGACUAGAGUUCGGAAGAGGCGAGUGGAAUUCCCGGUGUAGCGGUGAAAUGCGCAGAUAUCGGGAGGAACACCAAUGGCGAAGGCAGCUCGCUGGGACGUUACUGACGCUGAGACGCGAAAGCGUGGGGAGCAAACAGG